rnacentral:rRNA from 1 species
UACAGAGGGUGCGAGCGUUAAUCGGAAUUACUGGGCGUAAAGCGUGCGUAGACGGCUAUCUAAGUCGGGUGUGAAAGCCCCGGGCUCAACCUGGGAAUUGCAUUCGAGACUGAAUAGCUAGGGUACGGUAGAGGGAAGUGGAAUUUCCGGUGUAGCGGUGAAAUGUGUAGAGAUCGGGAGGAACACCGGUGGCGAAGGCGGGUCUCUGGGCAAUUCCUGACGCUGAGGCGCGAAAGCGUGGGGAGCAAACGGG